rnacentral:rRNA from 1 species
ACGGAAGGCAGCAGUGGGGGAUAUUGGACAAUGGGGGCAACCCUGAUCCAGCGACGCCGCGUGAGUGAAGAAGUAUUUCGGUAUGUAAAGCUCUAUCAGCAGGGAAGAAAAAUAACCAAAUUGACUGUACCUGACUAAGAAGCCCCGGCUAACUACGUGCCAGCAGCCGCGGUAAUACGUAGGGGGCAAGCGUUAUCCGGAUUUACUGGGUGUAAAGGGUGCGUAGACGGUCGCGCAAGUCAGAAGUGAAAUCCCGGGGCUUAACCCCGGUGCUGCUUUUGAAACUGUACGACUAGAGUGCUGGAGGGGCAAGCGGAAUUCCUGGUGUAGCGGUGAAAUGCGUAGAUAUCAGGAGGAACACCGGUGGCGAAGGCGGCUUGCUGGACAGUAACUGACGUUGAGGCACGAAAGCGUGGGGAGCAAACAGGAUUAGAUACCCUGGUA